AUUGAACGCUGGCGGCAGGCCUAACACAUGCAAGUCGAGCGGAUGAAGGGAGCUUGCUCCUGUAUUCAGCGGCGGACGGGUGAGUAAUGCCUAGGAAUCUGCCUGGUAGUGGGGGAUAACGUCCGUAAACGGGCGCUAAUACCGCAUACGUCCUGAGGGAGAAAGUGGGGGAUCUUCGGACCUCACGCUAUCAGAUGAGCCUAGGUCGUAUUAGCUAGUUGGUGGGGUAAAGGCCUACCAAGGCGACGAUCCGUAACUGGCCUGAGAGGAUGAUCAGUCACACUGGAACUGAGACACGGUCCAGACUCCUACGGGAGGCAGCAGUGGGGAAUAUUGGACAAUGGGCGAAAGCCUGAUCCAGCCAUGCCGCGUGUGUGAAGAAGGUCUUCGGAUUGUAAAGCACUUUAAGUUGGGAGGAAGGGCAGUAAGUUAAUACCUUGCUGUUUUGACGUUACCAACAGAAUAAGCACCGGCUAACUUCGUG
rnacentral:rRNA from 1 species